CCUUCCAUGCUGCUAGGCUGGGAUUAAACUUGGCCGAGAUUACUAAAUGCCAUGGGUGUUAGACAAUGGCAGCUUCUGCAGCAAGAACAGAAUUAAAGAAAAAGCGAAUCAAAUUGUCAGAAGGCACCUACGCUGAGAAGCACCCAGGACUGGAAAAUCUAAGGAAAGCUUCCAGCGGCCCCCGCUGGAGUUAGUAGCCUGGGCUCUAUUCUUUCCUAUGAGGAAAUGGAGGCUCGUGCAAAGGCACACACCUAGGAAGCCACAGAGCCAAGAGUUGAGCCCAAGCAUCUAGUCCAGUGUCGACACUUACAACCACGUUUCUUCUACAGUAUUUAUCACAACCUGAGCUCAAGGGCUUAAAUAUUUUUGGCCUGGGUGGCUGCCAACAGCUGACAGACACUCUCCAGAUCUCCGAGGUUGAAUUCCUUCAGGUCCUUCUUCUACUCACCAGGCGAAGCAACUCACCUAAGCCAAAGUGACCACCAUAUUCCCUGCCUGAAUGUUCAGUGUAGCUUUCAGGGCCAAAGUAGAGUCAGGACCAUUCACAUAAACAUGAAGAACCAGGGAUUGAACUUAGGCACUUGUGCUUGCCAGGCAAGCGCUUAUUCUACUGAGCCAUCUCCCCAGCCUCCAGGAUGUGCUUUUAACCAAUGCCUUCAUAAGCUGGCCUUGCGUCACCUUCACAGCAUCACCUCUAAUGCUCCUUGUCACAUACUCAGCUCCAGCCACAUGGAACCAGACGCAGAUGUGCAGACUAGGUCAGCCCUCCUACCUCAGUGGAUCCGAACACUGCCACUCUGCCUAGAAUGCUUGUUCCUACCCUCACCAGGUUUUUUGGAUUUUUUUUUUUUUUUUUUCAGAACUGGGGAUUGAACUCAGGCCCUUGUGCUUACCAUGCAAGCGCUUAUUCUACUGAGCUAUGGCCCUGGCCCCACCCUCACCAGUGUCCCUGGCUGGAAAGGGAACCUUCUUCCUCAGCAUUCGGGUUACACCUCCUGGGUGUUUUCCUAACCACUCCAGGAUCCACUACCGCUCCCUCCUUAUCCCCACAGAAUUCAGCGUGUGCAGAAUCGUCUCUCUACUUGCCUCUUCCCCUACCAACUGUCCAUCUUGGCUCAGAAGAACUGUUUCACUGUCACAGCUCUAUCUCCAGACCCCAGCAAAAGCCUUGACACACAGUAGUACUUAAAUAUUUAUCCAGUGAUUCAGUCAGCAAAUAAAUGGGUUCCAUGAAGUCAUGAACAGCACUUCAUGGAACAUGAAGGCUUACAAUUUGCACCUUGUUCUGCUACUUUUGGAUGGUUUUAGGAGAAAUCACUUCUCUCCAUUUGAAUUGAUCCAGAUAAGUUUUCAGCUUCCUUCCAGAUCUACGACUUACAAGGACACGAAGAGAAAAGUCACUCUAUGAAGUCUGUAGAGUCGACAGAUGGAAAGGAUGGGCUAAGAAGCGAUUGUGUUAAAAAAAACUGUGCUUUGAAAAAAUGUGCACAAUACAAGUAAGCUUUUAUAACAAUAUUUAGUCUUUUUCUACUUAUACUUUUAGAGCAAUUUUUAUAUAAUUGAUUACUUUUACAAAACCCUUCCAAAAUAUGUAAUCUUUGAGGAGAAGAAAAGGUGACUUUCAGCUGUAUAAGAGAACUUCAUGAAAGAAAUUAGAAUGAAGCACAAAGCAGGGACAGAAUCUGACUCAAAAUCGACUUGCUAGGAUGUCCCACAUGGCAAUCCAUUUCAGCAUUGCCUACUUAUGUGUCUGGCAGUGUUCAGGGCAACCAUCUGCCUUUCUUCCAUCUUUAAUCUUAGUUGCACCUAAGUAGUGCCCACACAGACAAGUUACACAGCGCCUUACCAUAUCGAGUAUGCUACAGUUAGUUUCUUUACAUGUUUGUCUCACUGCCACAGAAUGAAGACUGUAGAGAAUCUUUCUUUCCCUUAGGAAUCAUCUAGUAUCAUCCCCUACAUUUGACAGAAGAGAGGUCCAGAAAGACUGAAAGGCUCAGAAACAGCAAGAUUGUGGCUGAACCAGAACUUACACCUCACUUUUUCCGAUCUUCAGUCCCUGCUUUAACCUUCGCGAAAAUGACUGAUCACAGUUUUCAGCACCCUCGUGGCCUUCCCUGUCUGCUGAGGCAUUUCUCAGGUGCGUCCUGGUUCCCUAGUCCAAGUCUUAGCUCUUAACUUCACAGACUGAACCAGUGCUACCAGUGCCGCCUUCUAUCCCAGGUGCUCAUCCAGCCCUGGUGGUGGUGGACGGAAUUCUGUGCUGGCCUCAGUCCCGCCCCUGCUCACGUGUUCUGCAAAGGCUCUGUGUAGUGCAGUUCCCUAGUGGUAAAUUUGCUACACUCAGCUGAAUUG